GAUGAACGCUGGCGGCGUGCCUAAUACAUGCAAGUCGAGCGAACGGACGAGAAGCUUGCUUCUCUGAUGUUAGCGGCGCACGGGUGAGUAACACGUGGAUAACCUACCUAUAAGACUGGGAUAACUUCGGGAAACCGGAGCUAAUACCGGAUAAUAUUUUGAACCGCGUGGUUCAAAAGUGAAAGACGGUCUUGCUGUCACUUAUAGAUGGAUCCGCGCUGCAUUAGAUAGUUGGUAAGGUAAAGGCUUAUCAAGGCAACGAUGCAUAGCCGAGCGCAGGGGGGGAUCGGCGACACUGGAGCUGAGCCACGGUCCAGACUCCUACGGGAGGCAGCAGUAUGGAAUCUGCCGCAGUGGGCGAGAGCCUUACGGAGCGGCGGCGCGUGAGUGAUGACGGUCUCCGGUGCGUAAUACUCUCUUAUGGGUGAUGAACAGAUGUGUCAGGUACUGUGCAGUGCGUGACGGUACCUAAUCAGAAAGCCACGGCUAACUACGUG
rnacentral:rRNA from 1 species